GAAAAGAAAAAGCUAACUUACAAAAAAAAUUUCUUAUAAAUAUUUACAUUUUUCACUUUUUCUUUCUAUUUUUCAAAAAUCUACAUUUUACCCUCUAACUAUUUUGAGUCGUCGCAUUUACUCCCUCCAUCAAGAUUCCAUCAGUAUUACCAAAAAUACUCUUUAAAAUAAUAAAAUAAAUUAAAAAAAUAUUUUUUUAUAGAAGAAGUAAAGGUAAUUUAGUCAUCUUCUCUCGAUUAACAGCGUGUCCCGCUUAAAAAUAUUUCUUAAAUUUUUUUUAGAGAGAGAGAGAGAUAGGCAACAUGCUAUCAAUUUCGUUUAUUUCAUUUAAAAAUAAACUUACCUGAAAAUAUGAAUCAAUUAUGAUUCAAACUUGGGAUCAAAUAACGAUCGAUUCCUUUUUCAAAAGACUUGAAAAGUGGAGGUUUUGGCCACGUCUCUGAAUAUGGGUAUCAACCAUCGAACAUUUUGCCACUCGCGCUAGGGACAGUCAGAAAAAUAAAAGUAUAAUAGCCAGACCCUAUAUAGUAGCCAUGGCCUAUAGCCAUGAAAACAACUUUUCAACUUUUCAACUUUUCAGGGCGAUUGUACUCAGAAUAGUAUAGGCCAUGGCUACUAUACUAUUAUAAGUAUUGGAGCCCUCGUUCUCAUAAGUUGUUUUCAAUGAUGGAGCUUCUGAAUCGACGAUCUACUCCAUUAAAUAUGAUCUAGAGUAUUUAAAAUUUCUAGAAAAUAAAUUUCGUUAAUUCGAAAUCAUAAUAAAGUCCAUCAAGUGGGCAUAAAAUGAACGGUCGAAAUCGAAUGAUGUCCUAAAAAAGGAUAAUCGGAUUUUUCAAUUCAAGAUCGGAGUUAUUGAUUUUUAUCUAUAUAGUGAAUAGAAUUUUCUAUCAAAAAUUCAACAAAUUCCGAUUCUUUUACACUAUUAAACUAGCAAAUAUUCCAUACCGGCCGUAAAAAAUCGUCAAAUUUAUGACCUCUUGAUCGUAAGGUAAAUGAUGUCGAAAAUUUAUAAAAUUUGACAAUUUUUUAAGGCCGUUUGUGACCUCUUGAUCGUAAGGUAAAUGAUGUCGAAAAUUUAUAAAAUUUGAUUUCUGAAAGUUUUAAAUGCUGUAAAUAACGUUUAACGGUGUGGGUCAUCGAUUCGGAAGCUCUAUCAUCGAAAACAACUUAUGAGUACGAGGGCGAUCGUACUCAUAAUAGUGUAGUAACCGGACGCUCUAUAUAUAUAUAUAUAUAUAUACAUAUAUAUAUAUAUAUAUAUAUAUAUAUGUAUAUAUAUGUAUAUAUGUAUAUAUAUGUAUAUAUGUAUAUAU
rnacentral:lncRNA from 1 species